rnacentral:lncRNA from 1 species
AAAAUAGACUGUGGAUGUAGCUCAGUGAUAGAGCAACCCUGAGUUCAAUCCCUAAUACUGAAAUAAAACAAAAAAUUUGCUGGUGGGAAUGUAAACUGGCACACCCAUUUGGGAAAACUGUCUAGCAAUUGUUCAACCUAUUAAACUACUGUAUAAACAAAAUAUAUUUUAUCCAUAGAAUGGAAUAUUAGCCAGAAAAAAGGAACAAUAUGAAUGAACCUUGAAAACAUUCUAAACCUAAGAAGUAAAUCAUGCACACACUGCACACUCAAUUCAUAAUCCAUACAAAAUAUCCAGCAAGAGAAACUUCAUAGGGAUAGAAAAUAAACUAGUGUUUACUUAGAGCUGGGCACUGAUGGAUUGGUGGGGUUGAUAGCUAAAAGGUAUGUAUUUUGCGGGGAGGUGAUUAAAAUGGUCUAAAACUGAAAAAGAUCAUGUAAUAUGUAUAAAUAUACUAAAAAUAUUGGAUUUUUAUACUGCAUGUGGGCAAAUUGUAUAAUGUGUGAAAUAUCUCAAUCUGAGAGGAAACCCUUAUAAACAGUAAAAGAAUAAAAAUACUGAACAAUAACAGCACAUAAGUUGGAAAGGGGAACUCAAAAAUCAAAACAUUUUUUGAUGGUAAGAUGUUAGUUACAGGGAGCUGGGGUUGUGGCUCAGUG